UAAGAGGUACUACAGGGGUAGGAGUGAAAUCUUGUAAUCCCCUGUGGGACCACCUGUGGCGAAGGCGUCUUACCAGAACGGGUUCGACGGUGAGGGACGAAAGCUGGGGGCACGAACCGGAUUAGAUACCCGGGUAGUCCCAGCCGUAAACGAUGCUCGCUAGGUGUCAGGCAUGGCGCGACCGUGUCUGGUGCCGCAGGGAAGCCGUGAAGCGAGCCACCUGGGAAGUACGGCCGCAAGGCUGAAACUUAAAGGAAUUGGCGGGGGAGCACAACAACGGGUGGAAGCCUGCGGUUUAAUUGGACUCAACGCCGGACAACUCACCGGGGGCGACAGCAAUAUGUAGGCCAAGCUGAAGACUUUGCCUGAAUCGCUGAGGGGAGGUGCAUGG
rnacentral:rRNA from 1 species